CACUCCUGCGGGAGGCAGCAGUGGGGAAUUUUGGACAAUGGGGGCAACCCUGAUCCAGCAAUGCCGCGUGAGUGAAGAAGGCCUUCGGGUUGUAAAGCUCUUUUGUCAGGGAAGAAACGGUAGUAGCGAAUAACUAUUACUAAUGACGGUACCUGAAGAAUAAGCACCGGCUAACUACGUGCCAGCAGCCGCGGUAAUACGUAGGGUGCAAGCGUUAAUCGGAAUUACUGGGCGUAAAGCGUGCGCAGGCGGUUGUGUAAGUCAGAUGUGAAAUCCCCGGGCUCAACCUGGGAAUUGCAUUUGAAACUGCACGGCUAGAGUGUGUCAGAGGGGGGUAGAAUUCCACGUGUAGCAGUGAAAUGCGUAGAUAUGUGGAGGAAUACCGAUGGCGAAGGCAGCCCCCUGGGAUAACACUGACGCUCAUGCACGAAAGCGGGGGGAGCAAACAGGAGUAGAGACCCUAGUAGUCCCAUGAU
rnacentral:rRNA from 1 species